rnacentral:lncRNA from 1 species
CGCUCAGCAUGUCACCACGAGGUGUCACCACUGCCCGCGUCCGUGGGGCGCAGCCACGGGGCGUCCCGGCCGAGAGUCCCCACGCGGGUCCUAAAGGGACCCCACCCCGCAGCCCCACGUAGGAGCACCCCAAGGGGAGCGGGGACUUUCCCCCGGGUGGGAUUCGGCUCCAGGGAGCGCCGCGGUGCCCCCCUCCCCCCCACCAGCUUCCACGGGGACAUCCCGCGUCCCCCAGCACAGGGGGUGGCAACACCUCGGGGCGGGGGAGAACCCACCCAGCCCCAAUCCUCCUCGCUCCGCCCCAUUGCGACGCAGCCCCCCCUCUUUGCUCCGGGGAUCCCGGUGGGUUUUGGGAGCGGGGGGGGGCGGGGAUCCGUGGGAGCCGCGUGCGCUGAGUCAGAGCGCAGGAAUCCCGGCGGGGCCGUGACUCACCGCGCUGCUCCGGGCCGGGCGCAGCGCCGCCGCUGUGCGGGAUCGGGAGCCGCCGCCUCGGGGGUGCGGGGAACCCCACGCCUCCUUCCCGCUGCGGAGGGGCCAUGGGAUGCCCCCUCCCCCGGGCCCAGUGCGGGGACGGUGCCCCCCAUCCCUUGCGUCCCCGCGGGGAUCAGCUCUGCGCACCCCGUGUCCGCUGCUCCCGCUCUGAGGCAGGAGGGGUCGGGGGUUGGGGGGGGGAAAACUGUGCACCCCCCUCGUCAUGCAGAACCGCAGCGCCCCGUCCCCAGCUCAGCACCUCUGCACGGCGAGGUGCCAGUGUGGGGGAGGGGGCAUCAGGACCGGGGGGGGAGGGGUUCUGUCCUCCUGGGUCUGUCCGUGGGACCCCCCCCCACCCCGAGGACGAACACCGCCAUCAUAAACACAGCCCCAAAGAUCUGUGAGAUGCCAAGAAGUGCCCCAAAGCUGCCGUCCCCACGUACCUCCCUGGCCACCCACCCAACUCUGCGAGGGGGGCUGGGAGGGGGGUGGGGGGGAGGAACACCACCUGAGCUUGGCCACCCCCAUCCCUGCACCCAGACCCACGGAGGGGCCCCGUGUGCGGGCUGCCACAACCGUCACCCUCACCAGCACUUGGGCAUGAGGAUGACAAGUGCCAGCAAUCCGUGUGCAAGCACGGGGACAACAGGGCUGCCCCCCAGCCAGCAUGUUUCCCCACUCCCAGCACAGCUUUGGGGCUGGGAGUGGGCUCGAACCCCCCCGCCCUCCCCCCCGCAACAUGCUCCCCAUGUGCCCAAAGCACCUGCUGCCAUCAAUGCCCACCCGUGCUGUGCAUCUCACUCUGUCUCAGCUCACUCUGCAAUGACUGCUGCCACUGACACCCAUCCCUGGGCACUGGUUGGUGCUGGGGACACUGGUACCACCGCCAGCACCGUGAGUGCGGUGGCUGAGCAGGGAGCAGGGGCUGCUGCCUGA